GACGAACGCUGGCGGCGUGCUUAACACAUGCAAGUCGAACGGAAAGGCCCUGCUUUUGUGGGGUGCUCGAGUGGCGAACGGGUGAGUAACACGUGAGUAACCUGCCCUUGACUUUGGGAUAACUUCAGGAAACUGGGGCUAAUACCGGAUAGGAGCUCCUGCUGCAUGGUGGGGGUUGGAAAGUUUCGGCGGUUGGGGAUGGACUCGCGGCUUAUCAGCUUGUUGGUGGGGUAGUGGCUUACCAAGGCUUUGACGGGUAGCCGGCCUGGGAGGGUGACCGGCCACAAUGGGACUGAGGUACGGCCCAGACGCCUACGGGAGGCAGCAGUGGGGAAUAUUGCACAGUGGGCGGAAGCCUGAUGCAGCAACGCCGGGUGCGGGAUGACGGCCUUCGGGUUGUAAACCGCUUUCGCCUGUGACGAAGCGUGAGUGACGGUAAUGGGUAAAGAAGCACCGGCUAACUACGUG
rnacentral:rRNA from 1 species